AAUUGCUGUUGAUGAUGUUGUUGAUGCUGCUGCUGCUGUUGCUGCAAUAAAUUUGCCGCCGCAGCAGCAGCUGCAGCAGCUGCAGCAUUUGUCGGA
rnacentral:pre_miRNA from 1 species